rnacentral:rRNA from 1 species
UACGUAGGGUGCGAGCGUUGUCCGGAUUUAUUGGGCGUAAAGGGCUCGUAGGCGGUCUGUCACGUCGGCUGUGAAAACCCGAGGCUCAACCUCGGGCCUGCAGUCGAUACGGGCAAACUAGAGUACUGCAGGGGAGACUGGAAUUCCUGGUGUAGCGGUGAAAUGCGUAGAUAUCAGGAGGAACACCUGUGGCGAAAGCGGGUCUCUGGGCCGAUACUGACGCUGAGGAGCGAAAGCGUGGGGAGCAAACAGG